rnacentral:rRNA from 1 species
GUAGGGGGCGAGCGUUAUCCGGAUUUAUUGGGCGUAAAGCGUGCGUAGGCGGCUUGUUAAGUCCAGAAUUAAAGCCCGAGGCUUAACCUCGGUUCGUUCUGGAUACUGGCAGGCUUGAGUAUGGUAGAGGCAAAUGGAAUUCCUAGUGUAGCGGUGAAAUGCGUAGAUAUUAGGAGGAACACCAGUGGCGAAGGCGAUUUGCUGGGCCAUCACUGACGCUGAGGUACGAAAGCGUGGGUAGCAAA